rnacentral:tRNA from 1 species
GCGUGUGGUGGCCAGGCAUGUCGUAGCCCAGCGUUUCGUGGGCGCUGCGGCCCCAUUGCGAAAUGGCGAUGCCCUCGCUCAGCGAGGCGGCACGCGCCA